CUGGCGGCGUGCCUAAUACAUGCAAGUCGAACGAAACUUCUUUAUCACCGAGUGCUUGCACUCGCCGAUAAAGAGUUGAGUGGCGAACGGGUGAGUAACACGUGGGCAACCUGCCCAAAAGAGGGGGAUAACACUUGGAAACAGGUGCUAAUACCGCAUAACCAUAGUUACCGCAUGGUAACUAUGUAAAAGGUGGCUAUGCUACCGCUUUUGGAUGGGCCCGCGGCGCAUUAGCUAGUUGGUGAGGUAAAGGCUUACCAAGGCAAUGAUGCGUAGCCGAACUGAGAGGUUGAUCGGCCACAUUGGGACUGAGACACGGCCCAAACUCCUACGGGAGGCAGCAGUAGGGAAUCUUCCACAAUGGGCGAAAGCCUGAUGGAGCAACGCCGCGUGGGUGAAGAAGGUCUUCGGAUCGUAAAACCCUGUUGUUAGAGAAGAAAGUGCGUGAGAGUAACUGUUCACGUUUCGACGGUAUCUAACCAGAAAGCCACGGCUAACUACGUGCCAGCAGCCGCGGUAAUACGUAGGUGGCAAGCGUUAUCCGGAUUUAUUGGGCGUAAAGGGAACGCAGGCGGUCUUUUAAGUCUGAUGUGAAAGCCUUCGGCUUAACCGGAGUAGUGCAUUGGAAACUGGGAGACUUGAGUGCAGAAGAGGAGAGUGGAACUCCAUGUGUAGCGGUGAAAUGCGUAGAUAUAUGGAAGAACACCAGUGGCGAAAGCGGCUCUCUGGUCUGUAACUGACGCUGAGGUUCGAAAGCGUGGGUAGCAAACAGGAUUAGAUACCCUGGUAGUCCACGCCGUAAACGAUGAAUGCUAAGUGUUGGAGGGUUUCCGCCCUUCAGUGCUGCAGCUAACGCAAUAAGCAUUCCGCCUGGGGAGUACGACCGCAAGGUUGAAACUCAAAGGAAUUGACGGGGGCCCGCACAAGCGGUGGAGCAUGCUGUUUAAUUCGAAGCAACGCGAAGAACCUUAACCAGGUCUUGACAUACUUACUGUACAAUCCUAGAGAUA
rnacentral:rRNA from 1 species